rnacentral:lncRNA from 1 species
UUAUUUUCUGUGUUCUGAGCAUAAUUGAAUUUACAUUGAAUGCCAAGGUAUCAAACUUGCAAAAACCUAAUAAUCUUUUCAAUACAUUUCCUUAUUGUAUCAAACAUGACGUGUUUUAGACACUUGUUCAAAUCUUUUGUGAUUGUUUGUAUUUGGUUUUUAAUGCUAUUUCAGUAACAUGACUAUUUUAGCUUUGGGAAAAAUUGCUUCAUAAAGCAUGUUUUAUCAUUCAAUUGCUAACCAGUGAGGUCCCUAU